GUGCCAGCAGCCGCGGUAAGACAGAGGGUGCAAACGUUGUUCGGAAUUACUGGGCGUAAAGCGCGUGUAGGCGGCAGGGCAUGUCGGAUGUGAAAUCCCGUGGCUCAACCACGGAAGUGCACCCGAAACUGCCCAGCUUGAGUCUCGGAGAGGAAGGCGGAAUGCUUGGUGUAGAGGUGAAAUUCGUAGAUAUCAAGCGGAACACCGGUGGCGAAGGCGGCCUUCUGGACGAUGACUGACGCUGAGACGCGAAAGCGUGGGGAGCAAACAGGAUUAGAUACCCUGGUAGUCC
rnacentral:rRNA from 1 species